UACGUAGGGUGCGAGCGUUGUCCGGAAUUAUUGGGCGUAAAGAGCUCGUAGGCGGCUUGUCGCGUCGGAUGUGAAAGCCCGGGGCUUAACUCCGGGUCUGCAUUCGAUACGGGCAGGCUAGAGUUCGGUAGGGGAGAUCGGAAUUCCUGGUGUAGCGGUGAAAUGCGCAGAUAUCAGGAGGAACACCGGUGGCGAAGGCGGGUCUCUGGGCCGAUACUGACGCUCAGGAGCGAAAGCGUGGGGAGCGAACAGG
rnacentral:rRNA from 1 species